rnacentral:lncRNA from 1 species
GAGAGGAGUAGUCUUAUGAGAUUUGAGAGGCUAAGUCCAAGAGUCUGUGGUCAUAGUAGUGUGAUUGAUGAAAAAGAGUUUUCAUAAAAGUCACAACUGGACCUGAGCUAAUCAAUCUAUCAUAUGACUAAUGUUGAGGUUUAAUGAUUUAUCCAUGACCUGCCAUCUAGUCAGGACUCAUGAUAGAGGGACUAAAUUACAUAUUAACUACACCUAGAAGUUCAUUUCAGUUCUACUGGAUUGUCACUACAUAUUGCUAGAUGUCGCUAGUGGAUUGUGAGAGCUCACUAGGAGUUGUUUUNNNNNNNNNNNNNNNNNNNNUAGUGUCGGAGUUUCUGACAUUUUGUAUUCGGAUUGAAUACAAAGGAUAGUGGAUUGAAAUUCCCAAGUGGGAUCUUGGGGAGUGGAUGUAGGUGCAAGGUUAGCACCGAACCACUAUAAAUCCUUGUGUUUGUGGUGUGCUUUAUCGCUUUAUCUUAUUUCUAUAUUAUAUCCUUGCAAUACUACUUUAGGUAAUUAAUAUUGAUUUAAAGCCAUUGUUUUGUUCUUCAUAAGUUAUUUGUUGGGCUUAAAAUUAUUAGAAACCCAAUUCACCCCCCCUCUUGGGUUGCAUAGCUGGGCAACAA